UGUACUCGCUUCAGCAGCAAUACACUAAAAUUGGAAUGAUAUAGAGAAGAUUAACAUGGCCCUUGCACAAGGAUGUCAUGCAAAUACAUGAAGCAUUACAAAGAAAG
ensembl:snRNA U6 U6 spliceosomal RNA